GACGAACGCUGGCGGCGUGCUUAACACAUGCAAGUCGAACGGAAAGGCCCUGCUUUUGUUGGGUGCUCGAGUGGCGAACGGGUGAGUAACACGUGAGUAACCUGCCCUUGACUUUGGGAUAACUUCAGGAAACUGGGGCUAAUACCGGAUAGGAGCUCCUGCUGCAUGGUGGGGGUUGGAAAGUUUCGGCGGUUGGGGAUGGACUCGCGGCUUAUCAGCUUGUUGGUGGGGUAGUGGCUUACCAAGGCCUUGACGGGUAGCCGGCCUGAGAGGGUGACCGGCCACAUUGGGACUGAGAUACGGCGCAGACUGCUACGGGAGGCAGCAGUGGGGAAUAUUGCACAAUGGGCGGAAGCCUGAUGCAGCAACGCCGCGUGCGGGAUGACGGCCUUCGGGUUGUAAACCGCUUUCGCCUGUGACGAAGCGUGAGUGACGGUAAUGGGUAAAGAAGCACCGGCUAACUACGUG
rnacentral:rRNA from 1 species